UACGGACAUAUCACGCUGAAACACCCGUUCCUGUACCAUUACCGAAGUUUAAGCAACGUCGAGCAUGGUCAGUACCUAGACGGGUGACCGCUUGGGAAUACCAGGUGCUGUAA